AGAAUUUGGUCUUUUCUGUUAAAAUGACAACAUUUUCUUGGAGUAUUGGUCUGAGAAUAUAAGGGUUUUAAAAAUACUUUAAGUAAGUGGCCUAGAAAGCAAAGAUUUUGUAUUUUAUCAAGGGAAUUUUUUGUACUUUACAGCUUUUACUAGGUCUGUGAUUACUUAAGAAAAUUGAGUCUCCCCAAUAUUAAAAGAGGACACAAUUGAAAACACUGGCUACAUCACCAAGGCUGGAAUGUUAUAUUGAUUGGAAUGUUAUAUUUUCUAAUACGACCAGACAGCUUAAGGAACUAAAAUUGACUUUGAAGAGCCUGGGAAGACAGCUUGGAAAACUGUUUCAAACCUUACCAAUGAGAAAGGAAUGUCACUUCCUGACAAGUCCAGAAAUCUUAGAUAUUUGGGGGACCUCAAGAAAAGAGGAAUUUGCCAAAUCUAUAAGUGUUACAGAUGAAACCUGUUGGCAAGUCCUUGGCCUGGCUUCCUUACCUUCAGAGGCUUCUACCAGUUCAAUCUGAGAUUCCUUUUAUUUUCUUUUUUGAGACGGAGUCUCGCUCUGUCCCCCAGGCUGGAGUGCAGUGGCGCGAUCUCUGCUCACUGCAAGCUCCACCUCCCGGGUUCACGCCAUUCUCCUGCCUCAGCCUCCCGAGUAGCUGGGUCUACAGGUGCCCGCCACCACGCCCGGCUAAUUUUUUUUAUUUUUAGUAGAGACGGGGUUUCACCGUGUUAACCAGGAUGGUCUCGAUCUCCUGACCUCGUGAUCCACCCGCCUCGGCCUCCCAAAGUGCUGGGAUUACAAGCGUGAGCCACCGCGCCCAGCCGAGAUUCCUUUUCAAAAGAUCCAGCAAAGCAAACCUUAAAAGAGUCUGUAUAAUCAGUCACUAUUCUUGCUGCAUGUAUCUAAAUAUCCAGGCAAAGUUUAAUGAAAAUAAACUUAUUUUGCAAACAGCCCAGUCUAACUGAUUAUCUUUGGUAUAAAUGGGUGUGACUUCAG
rnacentral:lncRNA from 1 species